rnacentral:rRNA from 1 species
GGAAAUUUCGGAGGGAACCAGCUACUAGAUGAUUCGAUUAGUCUUUCGCCCCUAUACUCAAUUUUUACGACCGAUUUGCACGUCAGGACCGCUACGAGCCUCCACCACCGUUUCCGGUGGCUUCACCCUAAUCAAGCAUAGUUCACCAUCUUUCGGGUCCCAGCAUUUAUGCUCACACUCAGACCUUUCAACCGAAGUUUUGUGGCCGGCGGAUGAUGCAAAAAAAUAUCACCACUGUUACUUUCAUUACGCGUAUGAUGUUAAAAAUCAGACACUCGCACAGAUGCUAGACUCCUUGGUCCGUGUUUCAAGACGGGGUGUACAAAAACAUUUCGACAACAACACGAAGACUAGCCUCAAUCCAGACCAAAACGAGACAAGCUGGUAAUCCACGAAAAGACGUGUGCCUCCCAGCCAUACUUAUGCUUCGAUCCAAACCCUUGUUGACAAACUCUGCAUCACAGCGCCUCAAUGACAAGUCAGUGAGGAAAGAUGAUACAGCGAAACACUGUUUUUGUACGCUUCCCUUUCAACGAUUUCGAGUACUCUUUAACUCUCUUUUCAAAGUUCUUUGCAACUUUCAUUCACAUUACUUGUUCGCUAUCGGUUUCCCACCAAUAUUUAGUUUUAUGACAAAUUUACGUCACACUUUGAUCAGCAAUCCCAAGCUAAUCGACUCGUCGAAGGUGUAUGCCAUGGACAAGAACUUUAAACAUGAACGGUGGUCUCAACCUCUUCGCCUAUACGUUCCAGUAUAAUUAGUAAAAAGCCUCGUCCGACACAUCUUCUAUAGGCCACAACUCGGUACUAGGUACCGAUUCACAGGCUGAACUAGAUCCAGUUUCACUCGCCGUUACUAAUGGAAUCAUUGUUAUUUUCUUUUCCUCCGCUUAAUUAUAUGCUUAAAUUCGGCGGGUAAUCUUACCAAGCUGAGAUUCGAUUGUAGAACUAAUGAUUCAACACAGCUUUCACUGUAGUAAAUCACGCCACAGGAAUGCGGGUGGGUCUUGCUCAGAAGGCACAACAUAAUCCUAUUUGCAGAUAGCAAAUUUACCAUAUGUCGGCUCCUUUAACACAAGACACACUUGCUUUCCAGACGCAAGGUGCAAUGCACAAGGCAUAGCCACUCACUUUAGCUAUGCUGUAAGCCUAGGCCACAGCAAAGCCACAAUCAGACACUCAAAAAAGAGGUCUAGUGGGGUUCACGAACACUCAACACGGCAUGAUACCAGGAAUGUCCCGGUAUCGCAAGGUGCGUUCAAAAUUUUGAUGAUUCACGAGGUCCUGCAAUUCGCAUUACGUAUCGCAUUUCGCUGCGUUCUUCAUCGUUGUGGGAACCAAGUUGUCCAUCGUUGAAAGUUGUUUUUCAUUAAUAGAUUAGCAAGGAAUGUCCAGCGACGCAAAAGCAUCAAGCCAGCCAUAUCCUUGUUUUGGAUUCAGUUAAUUGUUUUAUUAGGUAUUGGGCGGCGAGGCACCGAAGUGCCCCGCCUGAGGCUUUCGCCUCUUGUUUUUUUGUAAAAUAAUCACAGGUACCACCACAAUGUGCCAUGAUAGACAAUUUGUAGUGAUGCACUGCUUGUUCUCGGGAGUUUAGAUCGGAGAUCUGAUGUGAUAAUGAUCCCUCCGCAGGUUCACCUACGGAGACCUUGUUACGACUUCACCUUCCUCUAAAAAACAAGGUUCAGAAAGGUUCUCACGGCAAUGUCCAAUAAAGGACAACGCUACGAUCUCGAUUCUUCACCGGGCUUUUCAAUCGGUAGGUGCGACGGGCGGUGUGUACAAAGGGCAGGGACGUAAUCAAUGCAUUUUGAUGAAAUGCGUUUACUAGGAAUUCCUCGUUCACGAUAACAAUUGCAGCUAUCGAUCCCUUUCAAGGCACACUUUAGAAGAUUUCCCAGACCUCUCGGGCAAGGAUAAGCUCGUUGAAUGUGCCAUUGUAACACGCGUGCGGUUCAGAACAUCUAAGGGCAUCACAGACCUGUUAUCGCCCUCAUCUUCCUGUAGCUUAAUGCUACAUGUCCCUCUAAGAAACCGUAAUCUAUCAAAUUGAUAAAAUCGAUUAUUUAGCAGGCGAGGGUCUCGUUCGUUAACGGAAUAAACCAGACAAAUCACUCCACCAACUAAGAACGGCCAUGCACCACCUCCCAAAGAAUCAAGAAAGAGCUCUCAAUCUGUCAAUCCUCACUUUGUCUGGACCUGAUAAGUUUUCCCGUGUUGAGUCAAAUUAAGCCGCAGGUUCCACUCCUGGUGGUGCCCUUCCGUCAAUUUCUUUAAGUUUCAGCCUUGCGACCAUACUCCCCCCGGAACCCAAAGACUUUGAUUUCUCCUACAGUUCAGUCUAUCGUUAAAUCGACAGACCACCCUGAGUCGGCAUAGUUUAUGGUAUAGACUACGAUGGUAUCUAAUCAUCUUCGAUCCCCAUACUUUCGUUCUUGAUUAAUGAAAACAUCCUUGGUAAAUGCUUUCGCAGUCGUUCGUCUUACGAUAAUCUAAGAAUUUCACCUCUGACAUCAUAAUACGAAU